CGAAUUUCGUAGUGCUUAGAAGAAGUGCUUUUGGAAUCCAAGAGGGAAUGCGUGCAUGUUGAUUCGGCGAGCCUUUUGCAACAACUUGUCCACUCAAAAGUGAUUGUUGGAGAUGGAACCCUAAUUAAUGGGUUGACACAUAUAACCACAUAGUGCAUGCUUAGAGGGAUUCCCCCUGCACAUUGCUUUAACUUCUUUAUUUCGAAUCCAAGGAGAAUAAGAGCAUUUCUUUU
rnacentral:lncRNA from 1 species